rnacentral:ncRNA from 2 species
CUCUUAUUCAGAGUGGUGGAGAUACAUAGGAUCUGUGAAACCACGGCAACCCCCGGCAGAUUGGUCUGCAUGGGAAGGUGCCAGCCUGAGCGAAAUUUUCGAACAAUAAGGG